rnacentral:lncRNA from 1 species
GGAUGUCCAAAAGAAGACAUACUGGUCACACUGAAUGACCUGAUUAAAAAUAUUCCAGAUGCCAAAAAGCUUGUUAAGUAUUGGAUAUGUCUUGUACAUAUUGAACCACUCACAAGUCCUAUUGAAAAUAUUAUUGCAAUCUAUGAGAAAGCCAUUCUGGCAGAGGCUCAGCCUAUUGGAGAGAUGCGACACACGAUUGUAGAUAUUCUAACAAUGAAGAGUCAAGAAAAAGCUAAUUUAGAUUUUCAACUACCAUUAAUGUGGUGGGUGCCCUGCCUCAUCCACUGAAAUGUCCUCUUCAGCCUGACUAUAUGGAAGUCCAGUCUGACUUGCACCUGCUCAGUCUUUUGGCUUUGUCUUCUGGAUCCCUGAGAUGUCCCAGCCAGCGGAGAUCAGAACAAACAUUGGAAUGAAGGCCCCAUGGAAGAAUUCUCACAGGGAGGCAGAUGCUGUUGGAAGGAGAGAGCCUGGAAUGUCCGUAGUGGUCAAGAGAAAUGUGUAUGUGGGCGUGUGGGAGGGUAUCAAGGGAAGUGAUCACUGCCAAGCUGAUUUGUUUUUUAACUGCCAAAGCAUUCCCAGGAUAUUCUUCCUGGUUGCUAGGAUUAGAGAGCUGGUAAGUUUCAACAAUGCGUCUAUCUAUUCCAAGUACAAGCAUUUUUUUGGUAAACAGAUUUUUAAUUCUAAAAAGACAAGGUUAAGAUUAAGGAAACUUUGA